CUAAUCUCAUUUCUUUAUCUUCCAUGGAAUUUUUAAUCCAAUAUGAUGGUCAGAAAAAUAUAUGCUCAUUUCAUUAAUAAAUUAAAUAAAGGUUACAUAAACAAACCGGAAAAUACACAUCUACAGGAGCAAAAAAUUCCUAAAAACUUAAAAUUACAAACAUCUCAUGGAGAACACUAAGCUACUCUACAGCUCCUCAGGCGCCGGGGCGCUCGCCAUAUGUUAACUUUGGUUAAUUCCAGUGUCUUUGUGGCCACCGAUUCGGCCGUACUCGCCAAAGUCAUCGGAGAGAGGUCCCAUUUUUGCAACAUAACCAUGCUUCUGGAAGGCACUCUGUCUCCACCGGUGAAGACUCCAUAGAGCUUGUAUUACCUGCGUGUUGAGAAGCCCCAAGAACCUCUCAAAAAAAAUGAAUGGAUGGAAAAAUCAAAAGCAACAGGGGGAGGUAGACCUGGUGACCUGGUGGACUGCGGCUCACAGCCUGCCAAGGAUCCCGCCGGUCCGAUGCGGCGGAACUCCACCAGGCGCGUCGUCAGGUGAGGCUGAAGCGGGACCUUGAGCACGCCCGUAGUCAUCGCGCCCAGCCCAUCCAGCUUGUGCACGCCCACGAGGGACCUUGUCGCUCCGUGCAGCAAGGUGGGCACCAUCCGUAGGAAUGGAACCGGCGCCACGAGCACUGGGUCCGCCUUCAGGGGCGCUCUCGCCUGAGAGACGAGGCUAACAUCGCGGAGGCAUAUGGCCGUUGCGGGAUGCAGAGGGGAAGAUGGUCAUGGAUAAAGAGGAUGCAGCGGUAGCUAACGCGGACCUUUUCUUGGUGAAGUGGCAGCGGCAGCUAACACGGACUUUUUCUUGGUGAAGUGGCAGCGGCCAUGGAUGGGGAGGGCGGAGGAUGGAGGAUCUGGAAGAGGCCGACUCAGAUCCACUUCGCCCCCGGUGGAAGAGAAGUGGGCG
rnacentral:lncRNA from 1 species